rnacentral:lncRNA from 1 species
GCUGAGCACAGACAGAGGGAACAAUCUGAACAGGUUGAACGUCUCACUUCAGUGUUUCUGGAUUAUGCACUGGGAAUUUUUCCACCCUCUCAGCCUCUUCUGCAGUGUGCUGUCAUUACUUAUUGGCUGGUUCUCACGGCAAUACCAGAGAGCACAGGCAGAGCCUGGGGAUAGACCAGGAGGGAUUGCCCUCUUGCCAAGAAAGGAUUCGUCAUCUAAGUACAGAGUACAGAAAGGAAUACUGUUAGAUUUACACUAUUUAAUGGAGCAAAAGUUUUUGCCAUCACCUUUUGUCAUCACCUUUACGAUAAAUGGAGCUCAGAACAGGCAGUAAUUCUUUGAUUUUCUGCUCUGAUAAAAUGAAAGAAAAGCAAUUAGAGACUUUUUUUUCCCAACAUGGAAAGCAGUGUUUACACUGCUGUCAGUUGCACCAACAGUGAUAUCAUCCUGAUCGCAUGGAGUCAGAUCCUUCAGUUGGUGAUCUUACUCUUGACCUGUUUUUUUUUUUCCUGAUAAUCCUCCUUACUAUUCCUAAAAAAACCUCCAUAAUGGGAAGAUUCAGAUGUCUUAGUCCAUUCAGCUUGCUGCAAUAAGUGUUGAAGUACUCACUUCAUGCUAUUCAGCCCUUCUGGGUAUGGAUACCAGAGGUUUUCAAGUGUAAUAGUACUUGCCAUCUCCUCCAGAAGAUGAAAAAAACACCCGUUACUGAUCUCAGCCUACGAACCAACUGAUAUUCUCAGUCCUUGGCUCUCUGAGCAGACUACAGGGCAGAGAAGCAUUCAGUUUGUCCUUGCAUCUUCAGAGACUAAAGCAGGAGCAAUUAGAGAAAGAACAAUCAAUUGCUGUGUCAGCCUCACACAGGACAGAACAUCAUUCCAUCAUGCCCUGACAGCAGCUUAUAUGAGAUAUGGGAAGCUAUUGUGCUGGAUCUUAGCCAGGAGUGCUACUCCCUUACCACUUCAAAUGAAUAAAGAUUUGACCGUUGGCUGCA